rnacentral:rRNA from 1 species
GACGAACGCUGGCGGCGUGCUUAACACAUGCAAGUCGAACGGUAAGGCCCUUUCGGGGGGACACGAGUGGCGAACGGGUGAGUAACACGUGGGUGAUCUGCACUGAACUUUUGGAUAAGCCUGGGAAACAGGGUCUAAUACCGAAUAGGACGACGCUCUGCAUGGGGUGUGGUCGAACGCUUUUGCGGUGUGGGAUGGGCCCGCGGCCUAUCAGCUGGUUGGUGGGGUGAUGGCCUACCAAGGCGACGACGGGUAGCCGGCCUGAGAGGGGGUCCGGCCACACUGCGACUGAGAUACGGCACAGACUCCUACGGGAGGCAGCAGUGGGGAAUAUUGCACAAUGGGAGCAAGCCUGAUGCAGCGACGCCGCGUGGGGGAUGACGGCCUUCGGGUUGUAAACCUCUUUCAGCACAGACGAAGCGCAAGUGACGGUAUGUGCAGAAGAAGGACCGGCCAACUACGUGCCAGCCGCCGCAGUAA